rnacentral:rRNA from 1 species
UGAAGUUUUCGGAUGGAAUCUUGAUUGACUGAGUGGCGGACGGGUGAGUAACGCGUGGAUAACCUGCCUCACACUGGGGGAUAACAGUUAGAAAUGACUGCUAAUACCGCAUAAGCGCACAGUGCCGCAUGGCAGUGUGUGAAAAACUCCGGUGGUGUGAGAUGGAUCCGCGUCUGAUUAGCCAGUUGGCGGGGUAACGGCCCACCAAAGCGACGAUCAGUAGCCGACCUGAGAGGGUGACCGGCCACAUUGGGACUGAGACACGGCCCAAACUCCUACGGGAGGCAGCAGUGGGGAAUAUUGCACAAUGGGCGAAAGCCUGAUGCAGCGACGCCGCGUGAGUGAAGAAGUAUUUCGGUAUGUAAAGCUCUAUCAGCAGGGAAGAAAAUGACGGUACCUGACUAAGAAGCCCCGGCUAACUACGUGCCAGCAGCCGCGGUAAUACGUAGGGGGCAAGCGUUAUCCGGAUUUACUGGGUGUAAAGGGAGCGUAGACGGCGAAGCAAGUCUGAAGUGAAAACCCAGGGCUCAACCCUGGGACUGCUUUGGAAACUGUUUUGCUAGAGUGUCGGAGAGGUAAGUGGAAUUCCUAGUGUAGCGGUGAAAUGCGUAGAUAUUAGGAGGAA